rnacentral:rRNA from 1 species
AAGUCUGGUGCCAGCAGCCGCGGUAAUUCCAGCUCCAAUAGCGUAUAUUAAAGUUGUUGCAGUUAAAAAGCUCGUAGUUGAAGUUCUGAUUGCUCAGGUUUCCAGCCUUAGGCGGAGAUACUGACAGUCAUCCGCUUGCAAACAUAUGUUCGAUCUUCACCGGUUGGCUAUGUGAGUAAGCACUUUACCUUGAGAAAAACAGAGUGUUCCAGGCAGGUUUGUCCGGGAUGCAUUAGCAUGGAAUAAUAGAACAUGACUGAAGUCGAUUUAUUGGUUUAAGGCUUUAGUAAUGAUUAAUAGGAACAGUCGGGGGCAUUCGUACUCAGCAGUCAGAGGUGAAAUUCUAAGAUUUGCUGAAGACGAACUAAUGCGAAAGCAUUUGCCAAGGAUGUUUUCAUUAAUCAAGAACGAAAGUUAGGGGAUCAAAGACGAUCAGAUACCGUCCUAGUCUUAACUAUAACUAUGCCGACUCGGAUUCAGAUGAAUC